GUCAGUCUUGGCUGGCAGACCUGUACUCCGUACUCCGUACUUCGUAGUCGCAGCGGCGCGGUCUUCGGCAGUCUAGUCAUCCACCGCCAUCCUGGGCCCCACGUGUUGCCUGACCAUUCCUGAGCCCAGGUGGGAGCCGUGGCUGAGGUGACGGUCUCAAAGUGGAAGAGCUUACUGUCACAGCAACUCCUUUGCAAGAUGCCCCGGUAAAUCACGUUGCAGAGACCCCAACUCUGCCUUCCUGGAACUAGGCCUGCGUUUUCUCUGAACCAUUAUUUCAUGGGGAAAAUGAAAUCUACUUCAUGUGCCUGGUCUACUUACUCCUUCAGAAGUGAUUUCUGAGCCGCCAGGAAUAGUUGCUGAACACCCCAGGCCUGCUGAGGUCCCUCCUUGAGUCUCAUGUUCAAGCAGUCUUCACAUGGCACAAGAGUGCCUGCCAUCCGUCAGUGUUUCUACAGCAGCAAUCCCAAGAUGCUGGAGCUAGAGGGGACCUGACCUGAGAGAAGAUACCUUCAGUGGCUGCCAG
rnacentral:lncRNA from 1 species